GACGAACCGUCCGAACGUUAUUCGGAAUCACUGGGCUUAAAGGGUGCGUAGGCGGCGCGGAAAGUUGGGUGUGAAAUCCCUCGGCUCAACCGAGGAACUGCGCUCAAAACUACCGUGCUCGAGGGAGAUAGAGGUGAGCGGAACUUAGGGUGGAGCGGUGAAAUGCGUUGAUAUCCUAAGGAACACCGGUGGCGAAAGCGGCUCACUGGAUCUCUUCUGACGCUGAGGCACGAAAGCUAGGGUAGCGAACGGG
rnacentral:rRNA from 1 species